rnacentral:piRNA from 1 species
UNCCUACCUACCUGUUUAUGUUAGUCAGC